AUAUAAAUCACCACAGGUCCUUGUUAAAACAGAGAUUCUGAUUCAGUAGGCCUGGGGAAGGACCAGAGAUUCUUAAUUCCUAACAAGCUCCUAGGUGAUGCCAUU
rnacentral:pre_miRNA from 1 species